AGUGAACGCUGGCGGUAGGCCUAACACAUGCAAGUCGAACGGCAGCACAGUAAGAGCUUGCUCUUACGGGUGGCGAGUGGCGGACGGGUGAGGAAUACAUCGGAAUCUACUUUUUCGUGGGGGAUAACGUAGGGAAACUUACGCUAAUACCGCAUACGACCUACGGGUGAAAGCAGGGGAUCUUCGGACCUUGCGCGAUUGAAUGAGCCGAUGUCGGAUUAGCUAGUUGGCGGGGUAAAGGCCCACCAAGGCGACGAUCCGUAGCUGGUCUGAGAGGAUGAUCAGCCACACUGGAACUGAGACACGGUCCAGACUCCUACGGGAGGCAGCAGUGGGGAUUAUUGGACAAUGGGCGCAAGCCUGAUCCAGCCAUACCGCGUGGGUGAAGAAGGCCUUCGGGUUGUAAAGCCCUUUUGUUGGGAAAGAAAAGCAGCAGGUUAAUACCCCGCUGUUCUGACGGUACCCAAAGAGUAAGCACCGGCUAACUUCGUG
rnacentral:rRNA from 1 species